UGGCGGAAUGCUUUACACAUGCAAGUCGAGCGGCAGCGCGGGGGCAACCCUGGCGGCGAGCGGCGAACGGGUGAGUAAUACAUCGGAACGUGUCCUGGAGUGGGGGAUAGCUCGGCGAAAGCCGGAUUAAUACCGCAUAAGCUCUGAGGAGGAAAGCGGGGGAUUCGCAAGGACCUCGCGCUGUUGGAGCGGCCGAUGUCGGAUUAGCUAGUUGGUGGGGUAAAGGCCCACCAAGGCGACGAUCCGUAGCUGGUCUGAGAGGAUGAUCAGCCACACUGGAACUGAGACACGGUCCAGACUCCUACGGGAGGCAGCAGUGGGGAAUUUUGGACAAUGGGGGCAACCCUGAUCCAGCCAUUCCGCGAGAGUGAAGAAGGCCUUCGGGUUGUAAAGCUCUUUCGGACGGAACGAAAUGGUUACGGCUAACACCUGUGACUGAUGACGGUACCGUAAGAAGAAGCACCGGCUAACUACGUGCCAGCAGCCGCGGUAAUACGUAGGGUGCGAGCGUUAAUCGGAAUUACUGGGCGUAAAGCGUGCGCAGGCGGCGGCUCAAGUCAGGUGUGAAAUCCCCGGGCUUAACCUGGGAAUUGCGCUUGAAACUAGGUCGCUAGAGUGUGGCAGAGGGGGGUGGAAUUCCACGUGUAGCAGUGAAAUGCGUAGAGAUGUGGAGGAACACCGAUGGCGAAGGCAGCCCCCUGGGUCAACACUGACGCUCAUGCACGAAAGCG
rnacentral:rRNA from 1 species